ACUGGCGGGCUGCGGGUGGCUGCGGACCGCACCGCGGGGAGGCGGAAAGUUUCUCCGCCCGCCUCGUCCUGCGAGCCGGCGUCGCCCGCUGCGGGCCCUGCCCGGCCGAGCAGUUCCGCAAAAAGAGAGGAUCGCACAGCAAAAUACAGUGGAAACAAAACCCCAAGCCAGCCGCGAGGCGCAGGGGGCAGGUACUCACAAAUCCAAGCUCCAGAAGGAACCCACGUCGUGGUCAGAAAUAGACCGGAGGGGACUGCGCGGGCUGUGCAGGGCUGAGGGGAGAUCGUGUUCUGUGCCCUGUCUGUCCAGUGCUGCUCAGUCGCUCCCAUUACCCCAGAACUCAGAGUGGACGGAGCUGCAGAUGCAAAGUCUUUGCUGUCACCAAGCUCAUAUUCUGGUGGAGACACACACAGUAAACAAUCUCAUUUAAAAAUAAGAGUCUGGUAGGUGAAGGCAAGGAGAUUGUAGAAAAGAACAAAACAAAACAGAUUGGUGUAAUAGAAGUAGUGGAGGAGCUUGAAUUUUUCUGUGGUAUCCAGGGAAAGCCACCUCACUUAGGGAGGUGAGGCUGGAGGUGAGAUGUAAGGGGGGGAGGAACCAAGGGAAGAGGCGGGGCAGCAGGGAGGGCCAAAGCUCUAGGUGGGUGGAGAAGGGCUUGCUAGCAUCAACAAGUGUGGCUGCCGUCGUACACGGGAGCAGGGAAGGGAUCUUGCGAGCUAAAGUUCGGCAGUGAGAAAUAUUCAGGAACCAAGUCCCACUUGCUCGGGCUCCCAGAAUAUGUGGAGGAAUCUGUUAAUGCUAAGAGCUACAGGAGACCUCCAGGCUUUGCAUCGAGGGGACAUGGCCUGGACAUUCAGGUGUGUGUGUGAACAGGUGGGGGAAGUCUCCUUUGAGGCUCUUUCAGGUCACGCUGAGAGGAGAUGGCGGUGAAGCCACAGAGCCAAGAACAGAUUCGCUUAGCAUAUGGGUCAGUCAGCUUUCUGUUGCUGUGAUAAAAUACCUGAAGAAAUCAACUUAAAGGAGGAAAGACUGAUUUUGGUCCACUGUCCAUGGUUGCUUGGCUUGGAGAGAUUUUGAAUCUACAGUAAGGCAAUCAUGGUGGCAGAGCAAAGGCUCAUGAUGGCCAGGAAGCAGAAAGGGAGAGAGAGAAGCAACCCAGUUCUCAAACUAGGCUCCACCGCCUAAAGUCCCCACCACCUCCCAAUAGCGUCCACCCACUUAGGCCUUCAGCACGUGAGUUUGGGGAGCAUCCCAGAUCCAGGCUAUAAAAGUGUCCAUAAGGUGCACCCCCAUCUAUGACACAGGCUCCCGCGAAGGUGCCACGCGUGUCUACCCUUGUGUUUGUCACCCACACAUCAGAGAACACGCAGCCUGGCCGAGCAUCCCACUUUAUUUCUGUCCUUGUGUUUCAUCUUCUUACUGGUCCCAUUUAAGACUGGACAUUUCCAUUUUGCAAUGAAAAAACCUCAGAGAAGUUGAUUUUUACACCAAGAUCUGGCUGGCUCCAUAGCCAGUGGCCUGGCUUCUGCAUGGUAGUGCUCACAAAUGGACAAAUAGGAAGAAGCCCCUUGCCCCAGUGGUACCAUGAAGAGAGGACAGGAGAGGCUUUUGGCCCAAAGCUGCUUCCUCAGGUAGAAUUUCACCUUCUCGGACCUCAGUGAGUUGGCGAUCAGUGUCCUGCUGGUGAUCAGUGUCCUAGGUGGAUGAAAAGCACAUUUGUCUGUGCCCACCGUUAGGUUGGCAGAGGAGCCCUGUGCGCCUGAGGAAGGAGCAGUGGGGAAUUCCAUGCUGGAAGGUGCUUGGCACAGAGGACUGGUUCUGGUAAGUGCACUGUGGGACUGAAGAUCCCACAGAAAUGAAGAAUGGUGGCAAGGACACUGGUCAUGGUAAAAAUAGCAGCUACGCACUGGGCAAGGGGACACACACCUGUAAUCCCAGCACUCUGGGAGGCUGAGCCAGGAAGAACACAAGUGUGAGUCCAGCCUGGGCAACUUGGCAACUUAACAAGACCCUGUCUCAAAGUGAAAAAGGCCUGGGAACAUAGCUUGAAGGCCUUUGGUUCUACCCCUAGUACCACGAAAAAGAAAGAAAAGAAAAACUGGAGGCCAGUGAAAAUACCUGCCACUUACUGAGUGCCUGCUGACUGUUCAAUUAGCAGAGCCCUCAUCUGACGGUGGUAUUGCACACAUUUCUAGCGAGUCUGUGGGGCAGGCUUUGCUGUGUUUCCUUGAGGCUAAGAGGACAUUAAUUUAAUAAAAGCUCUUCACACACUCAAAAA
ensembl:lncRNA